AUUGCUUUGAUUGUUUAGUUAUUAAGAAAAAAAGAAGAUGGGUUUGUUUGCUUAAUAUAGCUUGACUGAAGUGAAGUUAUUGUUAUUAAAUCACAUAUUAACCGAUUUAUGGUUUCUCUGUGUGGGAAUGCUAUUUCACCUUAUUUUGUGAUAUAGCAUUUACUGGGGACAUAUUUUUUUCCCUUUGUUUUUUCAACCCUUUUUGGCUGGUUAUACACUACUGAGUUUGGAAUGUUAAAAUCAUGUGUAGAAUUGCUUUGAUUGCUUGUUUGUCAAAAGUAAUUGCUUUGUUUGUUUAUUUCUUUAUUAAGAAAAGAAGAAGAUUGGUUUGGUUACUAAGUAUAGCUUGAUGGCUUGACUGAAGCCUAAUUAUUCUUUAGGUCAUUCAUUUUGGCACGGACUAAAAAGGAAAUAGGUUCACAUAAAUUGAAACAGAGGGAGUAGCAUUUACUGGGGAGUUAUAGGGUAAUGUAGUGAUGUUUUGAGGUUAUCAAUGCUGAAAAGUUUAAGUGCUUUUGGCACAUGACAAAGAGUUAUAGAAUAGGCUAGCUGGAGCCAGUGCCGCAUCUUCUGCGGUAUUGUUUAUCAGAUAGAUAUGUGCUUUCUGUUUAGCAAUGAAAAUGCUUCAUACCGACCACCAGCUUAACUGUGCCCCUUAAAGAAACAAAAGUUUUUUGCUGGAGAAAUUGGAUUCCAGCUGCUGAAGAGUUUGUAUUAGAAAAGAAUUUUCAGGGUGUUUCUUGUGUUAAUCUGUUUCCUGACAUUUAAUCACCAUAUUUGGCCUGGAAAACAAACUAAAACAAGACGACCAAGCAUGCGUAAGAAAAUCCAUUUAUUUUUGAUGGAGUUAACAUUCUCUUUUUGUAUUUAUCUUGCUUUGUAUACGUUGCAACUCCUUGGUGCUUUCUAUGAAAUUCAUUACUUUAUAAAAAAAAUCCUUAUAUUUCUCUUCAUUGCAUAUUUUCAGAUCUUUGAGCUAGUUAACAAAUUCAAAUUUAAUAUCUUGUUGGUCCAUUUGAAGAAUUAUUAUGGGUAGCUUUUUAAAGAUGCUUGAGCUUCCAUUGUCAUAUAGUCAAGCUCACUAAAUUUUCAAAAGGGAAUAGUUCUAGGGCUUUAGAUAUGUGAACAAAGAUGAUUCUUCUGCUGGAAGAGAGAGAGAGUAGAGAGUUACACACGUUUACUUUUCAAAAAACAAAAGGGAGUUGCAUAAGUGUAUGAUUCUUCCUUUCGAAAUGUUUGGAAGACAUUGCUUUCAUGGUCAGUCAUUUCUGGGGAGAUACCUCUGAUAUUUGUCUUAUAUCAGUGGUGGAAUGCUGAAGUUGGUGGUAUUGGAUUCCCUUCACCUUUUUGAAUCAUCAUCUGGUCCAAUAUUCCCCUCUCAGAAUAAUUAAAAAGAUGAAAGAUUUGGAAAAAGCAUACACAGCAGCUUCUAAACUUCCCAACAUUGUUUGCAUAUGGUUUGAUUUCUUACAAAAUCUUUUUUUUUUUUGGUAAAUUAAUUCUUACAAAAUCUUUCUGUUGCCUUCCCUUCAAUCAUCCAAUAACAUGUUUGCAACAUUUUCAAGAAACACAUACAGAUAGAGUAAAAGGAACCGUUGAAAUUGAUGCCUAUCUAUUGCUGAAGAAUUUAUAUCUGUUCAUUACCAGUACUCUUAAAUAUCAUUGGGCUAGAUUUGAGUUAUUCCAAUCUUCUGAUUUUAAUUUUAUUCUUAGCUAUUAGACAAGAUCAGAUAUUUUUGGAGGUAGUCAGAUUUACAGAAAACAAUGAAUAAUUUAUAACUGUUUGCUUGCAUUUAAUGACAGCUAACUCACAUAAGGUUAGAAAUGAACUACGCA